rnacentral:rRNA from 1 species
GACGAACGCUGGCGGCGUGCUUAACACAUGCAAGUCGAACGGAAAGGCCCUGCUUUUGUGGGGUGCUCGGGUGGCGAACGGGUGAGUAACACGUGAGUAACCUGCCCUUGACUUUGGGAUAACUUCAGGAAACUGGGGCUAAUACCGGAUAGGAGCUCCUGCUGCAUGGUGGGGGUUGGAAAGUUUCGGCGGUUGGGGUUGGACUCGCGGCUUAUCAGCUUGUUGGUGGGGUAGUGGCUUACCAAGGCUUUGACGGGUAGCCGGCCUGAGAGGGUGACCGGCCACAUUGGGACUGAGAGACGGCGCAGACUGCUACGGGAGGCAGCAGUGGGGAAUAUUGCACAAUGGGCGGAAGCCGGAUGCAGCAACGCCGCGUGCGGGAUGACGGCCUUCGGGUUGUAAACCGCUUUCGCCUGUGACGAAGCGUGAGUGACGGUAAUGGGUAAAGAAGCACCGGCUAACUACGUG